rnacentral:rRNA from 1 species
GCUUCCCCGCCGGCGAGCGGCGGACGGGUGAGUAAUGUCUGGGGAUCUGCCUGAUGGAGGGGGAUAACUACUGGAAACGGUAGCUAAUACCGCAUAACGUCGCAAGACCAAAGUGGGGGACCUUCGGGCCUCACGCCAUCGGAUGAACCCAGAUGGGAUUAGCUAGUAGGUGGGGUAACGGCUCACCUAGGCGACGAUCCCUAGCUGGUCUGAGAGGAUGACCAGCCACACUGGAACUGAGACACGGUCCAGACUCCUACGGGAGGCAGCAGUGGGGAAUAUUGCACAAUGGGGGAAACCCUGAUGCAGCCAUGCCGCGUGUGUGAAGAAGGCCUUCGGGUUGUAAAGCACUUUCAGCGGGGAGGAAGGCGAUAGGGUUAAUAACCCUGUCGAUUGACGUUACCCGCAGAAGAAGCACCGGCUAACUCCGUGCCAGCAGCCGCGGUAAUACGGAGGGUGCAAGCGUUAAUCGGAAUGACUGGGCGUAAAGCGCACGCAGGCGGUCUGUUAAGUUGGAUGUGAAAUCCCCGGGCUUAACCUGGGAACUGCAUUCAAAACUGACAGGCUAGA